GUAUGUAAUUUAUAAAUAGCUAGAUAUUAUAUCCAUUUUACAGUUGAGAAAAUGGAGAUAGCUUAAGUGACUUGCUCAGGAUAACGCAGCUGGUAAAUGUCUGAAGUCAGUUUUAUUCUCAGGUUUUUUGGACUCUAGGCCAAAUGCUCUGGAAAAUAAAAGAAAUUAAAAAUUUUGAGACACUCGGUGGAGUAAUGCUUGCUUGACAGACAAGUAAAGGCUCAUUUUACAGGUGAGGAAACAGAGGCAGACUGGAUUAAGUGAUUUAUCCAGGAUCACACAGCUAGAUCCUUCUAAGGAUGCCAUUGGAAACCAAGAACUGUUGAACCACGAAGGAGAAGGAGCAGGUCAUGCUAUUUCUGCCAUUCCCCAACUCUCUUCCACUUAGCCCUGAAAGGACCUCAGACAUUAAUCAUGGAGCAAUGGAUGAUUGAUAUGGCUGUACCCUGAUUAGAAAAGGGUUCAUUUUACUUGCACAUGGUACAUGGAAUUAGUUAAGGGUUGCACAGGAAAGGGAGCGAUGGACCAUUGUUCACAUUAAAUUAUAA
rnacentral:lncRNA from 1 species